rnacentral:misc_RNA from 1 species
AAAAAAUGGCCACUAUCUUUCAAAGGAAUAAGUUUCAAAGUUUUAGCAUUCGGGAUAUACGAAGUUAAAACAUUUUGAAGUUAUAUCAUAUAAUCAGGAAGAGUGGGUGACUUCACCUAAGAACUUUGGUGACAUUUUUUUAUAUGUUGGGAUGAUGCUAGAAGCAUCAUGUUAUUGCAAAAGGAAUUGCAAUAAAUGUUAUAAGAAUGAUUCACUGCCUCACUUAUCAACAAAAUAAAUGGACAAAUACAAGGUUCUUCCAUUAUAGUCAUGUAUAUGUAUGCUUUCAUCAUAGCUUGAGUAUAUGUAUACUCUUACUGUGACAUUCCUUUGUAAAAUUUAUUGUCUCCUGCAGAUGAUUACUGUGAUUAAUUGUUAUUGGUAUGAUAUUUAUUGUGCUUCUGGAAUUCCUUUUUUGUUUUUUUUUUGGUGUGUGUG